GGUCCCGUAGCUUAACUGAAUAGAGCAUCUGACUACGGAUCAGAAGGUUGUGGGUUUGACUCCCGCCGGGAUCA
rnacentral:tRNA from 1 species